CUGCUUCACUGAGAUCCUCUCCUGAGCCCAAGUUAUUGGCUAUGGAGUGUUUCUCACAAUUUGGGGGCUCGUCCAGGACCCAGUCACCUGCUGGGGAGGCCCACUGCCACAGCAGCAGGAAGGCAUGCCCCGCUGAUUUCAGCGGUCCUGUGCAUCGACGGUGGUGGUUCUGCAGAGAGCUGACAGAGGGCCUGAGACUGAUUACAGAGGCAGGAUCCGUGAAGUAGUGGGGAAAGAAAGAAGUCUUACAGAGAUAAUACAGUCAAGAGGAGCUGAGUUUAAUUUCACUGCUGCCUAUGUACGUGUGCUGUUAAGUCCAGGGAUCUUUAUGGUGACAGCUGAUGGCUGGAACAUUGCUAAGCUUGAAGUUGAAAGUUGAAAGAAGUUGAAACCUGUAGUUUGUUCACUAUUAUUUUUCUCGGAAAGUACCAAGAGUGGAGUUGUUAGAAGAUCUUUAGAGCAUUUUCUUUUUUCCAAUCAAGAGAUUAAUUUAACACUGCUAUAGGUGUGACUGUCCCCGUGAAUGGCUGGUGAAGAAUGUUUU